rnacentral:rRNA from 1 species
UACGUAGGUGGCGAGCGUUGUCCGGAUUUACUGGGCGUAAAGGGCUCGUAGGCGGCCAACUAAGUCGGACGUGAAAUCCCUCAGCUUAACUGGGGAACUGCGUCCGAUACUGGAUGGCUUGGAUUUGGGAGAGGGAUGCGGAAUUCCAGGUGUAGCGGUGAAAUGCGUAGAUAUCGUUUGGAACGCCAAAGGUGAAAACAGACAGCUGGGAGUGUGCUGACGCUGAGACACGAAAGCCAGGGGAGCGAACGGG